GUGAUGUAGUAGUGUGAUAUAGUAGUGUGAUAUAGUAGUGUGAUAUAGUAGGGUGAUGUAGUAGUGUGAUGUAGUAGUUUGAUGUAGUAGUGUGAUAUAGUAGUGUGAUGUAGUAGUGUGAUAUAGUAGUGUGAUAUACAGUAGUAGUGUGUUGUAGUAGUGUGAUAUAGUAGUGUGAUAUAGUAGUGUGAUGUAGUAGUGUGAUAUAGUGGUGUGAUAUACAGUAGUAGUGUGAUGUAGUAGUGUGAUGUAGUAGUGUGAUAUAGUAGUGUGAUAUACAGUAGUAGUGUGAUGUAGUAGUGUGAUAUAGUAGCGUGAUAUAGUAGUGUGAUGUAGUAGUGUGAUAUAGUGGUGUGAUAUACAGUAGUAGUGUGAUGUAGUAGUGUGAUGUAGUAGUGUGAUAUAGUAGUGUGAUAUACAGUAGUAGUGUGAUGUAGUAGUGUGAUAUAGUAGCGUGAUAUAGUAGUGUGAUGUAGUAUGUGAUAUAGUAGUGUGAUAUAAUAGCGUGAUAUAGUAGUGUGAUAUACAGUAGUAGUGUGAUAUAGUAGUGUGAUAUAGUAGUGUGAUAUACAGUAGUAGUGUGAUGUAGUAGUGUGAUAUAGUAGUGUGAUGUAGUAGUGUGAUAUAGUAGUGUGAUAUAAUAGCGUGAUAUAGUAGUGUGAUAUACAGUAGUAGUGUGAUAUAGUAGUGUGAUAUACAGUAGUAGUGUGAUAUAGUAGGGUGAUAUAGUAGUGUGAUAUAGUAGGGUGAUAUAGUAGUGUGAUAUACAGUAGUAGUGUGAUAUAGUAGUGUGAUAUAGUAGUGUGAUAUACAGUAGUAGUGUGAUAUAGUAGGGUGAUAUAGUAGUGUGAUAUAAUAGUGUGAUAUAGUAGUGUGAUAUACAGUAGUAGUGUGAUAUAGAAGUUUGAUAUAGUAGUGUGACAUACAGUAGUAGGGUGAUAUAGUAGUGUGAUAUAGUAGUGUGAUAUACAGUUGUAGUGUGAUAUACAGUAGUAGUGUGAUAUAGUACUGUGAUAUACAGUAGUAGGGUGAUAUAGUAGUGUGAUAUACAGUAGUAGGGUGAUGUAGUAGGGUGAUAUAGUAUGGUGAUAUAGUAGGGUGAUAUAGUAGUGUGAUAUACAGUAGUAGCGUGAUAUAGUAGUGUGAUAUAGUAGUGUGAUAUAGUAGGGUGAUAUAGUAGUUUGAUAUAGUAGUGUGAUAUAGUAGUGUGAUAUACAGUAGUAGUGUGAUAUAGUAGGGUGAUAUAGUAGUUUGAUAUAGUAGUGUGAUAUAGUAGUGUGAUAUACAGUAGUAGUGUGAUAUAGUAGUGUGAUAUAGUAGGGUGAUAUAGUAGUGUGAUAUCAGCUGACUAAUAUUCUAUGAAUGUCAAUGAUCCCUCUGACCGUGAUGUCACCCAAACUAGACUGACUUCACAAUAAACCUCAACUGACCUGUUUUAUGAAAACCCACCAAUAAACCUCAACUUGACCUGUUUCAUCAAAACCCAUCAAUAAACCUCAACCUGACCUGUUUCAUCAAAACCCACCAAUAAACCUCAACUUGACCUGUUUUAUGAAAAGCCACCAAUAAACAUCAACUUGACCUGUUUCAUCAAAACCCACCAAUAAACCUCAACUUGACCUGUUUUAUCAAAACCCACCAAUAAACCUCAACUUGACCUGUUGCAUCAAAACCCACCAAUAAACCUCAACUUGACCUGUUUCAUCAAAACCCACCAAUAAACCUCAACUUGACCUGUUUCAUCAAAACCCACCAAUAAACCUCAACUUGACCUGUUUCAUCAAAACCCACCAAUAAACCUCAACUUGACCUGUUUCAUCAAAACACA
rnacentral:lncRNA from 1 species